GGUUAAGCGACUAAGCGUACACGGUGGAUGCCCUGGCAGUCAGAGGCGAUGAAGGACGUGCUAAUCUGCGAUAAGCGUCGGUAAGGUGAUAUGAACCGUUAUAACCGGCGAUUUCCGAAUGGGGAAACCCAGUGUGUUUCGACACACUAUCAUUAACUGAAUCCAUAGGUUAAUGAGGCGAACCGGGGGAACUGAAACAUCUAAGUACCCCGAGGAAAAGAAAUCAACCGAGAUUCCCCCAGUAGCGGCGAGCGAACGGGGAGCAGCCCAGAGCCUGAAUCAGUGUGUGUGUUAGUGGAAGCGUCUGGAAAGGCGCGCGAUACAGGGUGACAGCCCCGUACACAAAAAUGCACAUGCUGUGAGCUCGAUGAGUAGGGCGGGACACGUGGUAUCCUGUCUGAAUAUGGGGGGACCAUCCUCCAAGGCUAAAUACUCCUGACUGACCGAUAGUGAACCAGUACCGUGAGGGAAAGGCGAAAAGAACCCCGGCGAGGGGAGUGAAAAAGAACCUGAAACCGUGUACGUACAAGCAGUGGGAGCACGCUUCGGCGUGUGACUGCGUACCUUUUGUAUAAUGGGUCAGCGACUUAUAUUCUGUAGCAAGGUUAACCGAAUAGGGGAGCCGAAGGGAAACCGAGUCUUAACUGGGCGUUAAGUUGCAGGGUAUAGACCCGAAACCCGGUGAUCUAGCCAUGGGCAGGUUGAAGGUUGGGUAACACUAACUGGAGGACCGAACCGACUAAUGUUGAAAAAUUAGCGGAUGACUUGUGGCUGGGGGUGAAAGGCCAAUCAAACCGGGAGAUAGCUGGUUCUCCCCGAAAGCUAUUUAGGUAGCGCCUCGUGAAUUCAUCUCCGGGGGUAGAGCACUGUUUCGGCAAGGGGGUCAUCCCGACUUACCAACCCGAUGCAAACUGCGAAUACCGGAGAAUGUUAUCACGGGAGACACACGGCGGGUGCUAACGUCCGUCGUGAAGAGGGAAACAACCCAGACCGCCAGCUAAGGUCCCAAAGUCAUGGUUAAGUGGGAAACGAUGUGGGAAGGCCCAGACAGCCAGGAUGUUGGCUUAGAAGCAGCCAUCAUUUAAAGAAAGCGUAAUAGCUCACUGGUCGAGUCGGCCUGCGCGGAAGAUGUAACGGGGCUAAACCAUGCACCGAAGCUGCGGCAGCGACGCUUAUGCGUUGUUGGGUAGGGGAGCGUUCUGUAAGCCUGCGAAGGUGUGCUGUGAGGCAUGCUGGAGGUAUCAGAAGUGCGAAUGCUGACAUAAGUAACGAUAAAGCGGGUGAAAAGCCCGCUCGCCGGAAGACCAAGGGUUCCUGUCCAACGUUAAUCGGGGCAGGGUGAGUCGACCCCUAAGGCGAGGCCGAAAGGCGUAGUCGAUGGGAAACAGGUUAAUAUUCCUGUACUUGGUGUUACUGCGAAGGGGGGACGGAGAAGGCUAUGUUGGCCGGGCGACGGUUGUCCCGGUUUAAGCGUGUAGGCUGGUUUUCCAGGCAAAUCCGGAAAAUCAAGGCUGAGGCGUGAUGACGAGGCACUACGGUGCUGAAGCAACAAAUGCCCUGCUUCCAGGAAAAGCCUCUAAGCAUCAGGUAACAUCAAAUCGUACCCCAAACCGACACAGGUGGUCAGGUAGAGAAUACCAAGGCGCUUGAGAGAACUCGGGUGAAGGAACUAGGCAAAAUGGUGCCGUAACUUCGGGAGAAGGCACGCUGAUAUGUAGGUGAGGUCCCUCGCGGAUGGAGCUGAAAUCAGUCGAAGAUACCAGCUGGCUGCAACUGUUUAUUAAAAACACAGCACUGUGCAAACACGAAAGUGGACGUAUACGGUGUGACGCCUGCCCGGUGCCGGAAGGUUAAUUGAUGGGGU
rnacentral:rRNA from 1 species